GGCGGAGUGUGAUGUCCA
rnacentral:snRNA from 1 species